rnacentral:rRNA from 1 species
ACUGACACUGAGGUGCGAAAGCGUGGGUAGCAAACAGGAUUAGAUACCCUGGUAGUCCACGCCGUAAACGAUGUCGACCAGCCGUUGGGUGCCUAGCGCACUUUGUGGCGAAGUUAACGCGAUAAGUCGACCGCCUGGGGAGUACGGCCGCAAGGUUAAAACUCAAAUGAAUUGACGGGGGCCCGCACAAGCGGUGGAGCAUGUGGUUUAAUUCGAUGCAACGCGAAGAACCUUACCUACUCUUGACAUCCUGCGAAUUCGGUAGAGAUACCUUAGUGCCUUCGGGAACGCAGAGACAGGUGCUGCAUGGCUGUCGUCAGCUCGUGUCGUGAGAUGUCGGGUUAAGUCCCUUAACGAGCGAAACCCUUAUCUCUAGUUGCCAGCGGGUAAUGCCGGGGACUCUAGAGAGACUGCCGGUGUCAAACCGGAGGAAGGUGGGGAUGACGUCAAGUCCUCAUGGCCUUUAUGUUUAGGGCUGCACACAUCCUACAAUGGUAUGUACAAAGGGAAGCAAAGCCGCGAGGUGGAGCUAAUCCCACAAAGCAUGCCUCAGUUCGGAUUGCAGGCUGCAACUCGCCUGCAUGAAGCUGGAAUCGCUAG